GCGAGGCGGAUUAAAGUGCAGUUGGACGGCUUCCGGAACAGAUGAAUUGGACCGACAACCCACCCUUAGGGAAUUUUCUUCCCCGUCCUCGGUAAAACCCCAAUUACACCAACAAGCAACAGUUAAAUGCAUACAAAGACGCAUAAAUGCAGCAGAUGGAAAACAGGAGGAAGCAGCUGGAAGUGUGUUUCCCUCAGAACUGUUUUUAACAGGCUGUGCACAAUAAUGCCUCUCUAAUGCACAGAUAAAAAUAAAACAUAAAUAUUGAAAAGGUUACUGGUCACAGCAACAAGAUGACACGAGAUGCUGCUGUCAUGCCUGGUUCUGUUACCCCUGCAAUCACUCUGAUACUCUCUG
rnacentral:lncRNA from 1 species